UUGGUCCAGGUAGCUGCCUUCGCCAUGGAUGUUCCUCCUGAUCUCUACGCAUUUCACUGCUACACCAGGAAUUCCGCUACCCUCUACCACACUCUAGUCGCCCAGUAUCCACUGCAGUUCCCAGGUUGAGCCCAGGGCUUUCACAACGGACUUAAACGACCACCUACGCACGCUUUACGCCCAGUAAUUCCGAGUAACGCUUGCACCCUUCGUAUUACCGCGGCUGCUGGCACGAAGUUAGCCGGUGCUUAUUCUUUGGGUACCGUCAUCCCAACCGGGUAUUAGCCAGCUGGAUUUCUUUCCCAACAAAAGGGCUUUACAACCCGAAGGCCUUCUUCACCCACGCGGUAUGGCUGGAUCAGGCUUGCGCCCAUUGUCCAAUAUUCCCCACUGCUGCCUCCCGUAGGAGUCUGGACCGUGUCUCAGUUCCAGUGUGGCUGAUCAUCCUCUCAGACCAGCUACGGAUCGUCGCCUUGGUGGGCCUUUACCCCGCCAACUAGCUAAUCCGACAUCGGCUCAUUCAAUCGCGCAAGGUCCGAAGAUCCCCUGCUUUCACCCGUAGGUCGUAUGCGGUAUUAGCGUAAGUUUCCCUACGUUAUCCCCCACGACAGAGUAGAUUCCGAUGUAUUCCUCACCCGUCCGCCACUCGCCACCCAGAGAGCAAGCUCUCCUGUGCUGCCGUUCGACUUGCAUGUGUUAGGCCUACCGC
rnacentral:rRNA from 1 species